rnacentral:rRNA from 1 species
ACUACGGGAGGCAGCAGUGAGGAAUAUUGGUCAAUGGGCGCGAGCCUGAACCAGCCAAGUAGCGUGAAGGAUGACUGCCCUACGGGUUGUAAACUUCUUUUAUCAAGGAAUAAAGUGAGGCACGUGUGCCUUUUUGUAUGUACUUUAUGAAUAAGGAUCGGCUAACUCCGUGCCAGCAGCCGCUGUAAUACGGAGGAUCCGAGCGUUAUCCGGAUUUAUUGGGUUUAAAGGGGGCGUAGAUGGGUUGUUAAAUCAGUUGUGAAAGUUUGCGGCUCAACCGUAAAAUUGCAAUUGAUACUGGCAGUCUUGAGUACAGGUGAGGUAGGCGGAAUGCGUGGUGUAGCGGUGAAAUGCUUAGAUAUCACGAAGAACUCCGAUUGCGAAGGCAGCUUACUAAACUGCCACUGACAUUGAUGCUCGAAAGUGUGGGUAUCAAACAGGAUUAGAUACCCCUGUAGUC